GUAAUGCAACCUACCUGUAACAGGAGUAUAGCUCGGGGAAACUCGAAUUAACCCUCCAUAAGAUCGUGAAGUGGCAUCACUUAGCGCUUAAAACUGAGGUGGUUACAGAUGGGCAUGCGUCUGAUUAGUUAGUUGGCGGGGUAAUGGCCCACCAAGACGAUGAUCAGUAGGGGAACUGAGAGGUUGAUCCCCCACACUGGCACUGAGAUACGGGCCAG
rnacentral:rRNA from 1 species